rnacentral:lncRNA from 10 species
GGAGAGGGAGGUUGAGGUCGUAACACUUCAUUUUCAUUCUGCAUCUUACAAAGACUCCGACCUCUGAGCUAAACUGACUUGGGCCAGCUCCCACCUAGUGAACCUCAGCUCCUCCUCCUCAAGUGAGGCUGUCACCUUGCAGGAGUACAGACAUGGGGAGCUGUUGAUACUUCUCCAGAAGGGGCGUGACUGACAGAGGGUUCAACCCAGGUCCAGUGGCUCUGAGGUCCUGUGCUUCAUAAAGUGUAUGUUUUGCAAAAACACUGAGGUUCUCCCAGUUGUGCAGAGAUGCAGCCCGAGGAUGACAGUCAAGGGUGACUCCAGCCAACAAACUCACGGGCUCCCUGUCUGUCCCCAGCCCGGGAGCCAAGACACAGAAAAGCGUUCCUGCCUUAGAGCCAAGCACCUGGCCUGGAGGUGUUUGUAAGGGGAUCCCCUCCCCCGACCCCCCAGCAAUGGGGAAAGUCCCCGAGACCUUGACCACUCUGCGCAGUUAAUCCAGAGGCUUCCAGGACGGGGCACUGGCUGACUUCACUUUCACCUGUGGGUGCUGGACCCAGUGCACCCCCAGAGGCCAGGCAGCUUUCACUUUGGGGAAUGUGGACUCUGUGGGUCCAGAAGGGCCUGUGUGGAAAAAGAAGCCAACAGUCCCUGGUUUUGUGUAAAGUCUCCUGAUGUUUAAAGGCUGGCAACGAACUCAACUGAAAACAAAUGCAAAAAUACCACAGGCCAAACCACGGGUACAGGCUGGAUGCACCCAUGGGCCACCCAGUUGCUCUCUGUUUGGCUGUGACCAACUCGGCCCAGGUCCCAUUUCUGGCACUCAUUCCUGUUUCUUCACUUAAACAAAAUGGCAUGAAUGCUGCCUUCUCAGGGGGCAUGCUGUGAGGAUGCUGUAACUUUGGAGAGUGUCUGGCCCUUUCUGGGGUGCCCCUGCUUCCUCCCUUCCUCUUUUCCCCUCCGUCUUCCCUUUCCUCCCUUCUCCCCUUCUCCCCUCUUCUCCCUACUCCCUUCUCUCCUUCCCUCACUUCUUCCUCUCCUCCUGUCUCCUUUCUCCCUCCUUCACUCCUCUUCUCCUUUCCUUCCUCCCUCCUCUUCUUUCCUUCUCCCCUCUCUUCUCCCCCAUCUCUCCUUUCCCCCCUGCUUCCCUCUCCUCUCUCUCCUGUCUUCCCUCCCUCUUCCCCUCCCUCCUUCCCUGUCCUGGCCCUGAACCUUUCCCUGGGCUCCCACGCUCUGCUCAGUCUCACCUAGGCCCAGCCCAUGUCUUCUCAGACAACCCAGCACCACCCCUCGACCACCUUCCACAGAGGGGGCUGCCCUUUUCAGCUCCCUUGCCAAGGGGCCGCCAGCAUUUCCAGGUCAGCUCACGAAUGGCAGUGUUCUCCAGCUCUUCUGUGUCAAAAACAAACACCCUCCUCCCAGCGCUGCUCCUGGCCGGCUGCCCCGCCCUCUGCCAGGCGUUUCUCAGAGGACAAGACCUAAUGAGCUGGCUGCUGCCAGCCUGGUCCUCACAGUUCAUCAGUAGGAUUCCAGACAGGCAUCAGGCUCAGGGACAGCGCAGAGACAGCUGCCUUCUCCUCUUUCCCGGAGGCACCUGAGACCUGAGCGCACCGAGGGGGCCGGUGCAUGGGCUGCUCCCAGUGAGCGUGAAGUUCACGCCCAGAAGUACACCCGCCACCAGCUGCAGCAGCACAGGGCAGAAGAAGAAAAGCCAUGUGAGGACACAGUAAGAAGGCGGACGUCUGUAGGCCAGGAAGAGAGUCCUCACCAGGACCCAACCAUGCUGGCACCCUGGUCCUGGACUUCUGGCCUCCAGAACUGUGAGAAAUAAAUUUCAGUUGUUGAAGCCAUCUGUGGUAUUUUGUUAUGGCAGCUGGAGCAGACUCAGACAAUCUUUAAAUACACAUACUUUCAGCAGUAGCUGGCAUGUCUGACCUGGCAAGAUGAACUGAUUGCACACUUAGGUAAACUGACUACUCAUCCCAGCAAAGCCCCUAACCCUGUAACCACCCACUGAACUGACCAGACUGGUGGCUUAGCCCAGCCUUGGACAGGCAGAACUUCAGCCUUGGACACAGUCCCUGUCAUCCUAAAGGAGCCUCCUUAAGGAGCACUUGUAGGACCAGAGAGAGUCAGAGUUAAUAGCAAUGAUAGUAACUUCAAUACUUUAUGUGGAGCAGCUGUGUACAAUGAGCUAGGGCUGGGACCAAGCAUUUUAUAUUCAUCAUCUUGUUUAAUCUGUGUUGUUACCUUGUGAAGAAGGUAGGAUUAUCUCGAUUUCACAGAAGAGGAAACUAGAGAUGAGAUUCCCUGUCCAAGUUUACACUGCAAGUACCAGAUGGACCAAGCUUCCAACCCUCCUCUCUCUGACUUUAAACCUUAUGCAUUCCAUUAAAAUUAAAGGAAAAAGAGUCAUUGAUCA